rnacentral:rRNA from 1 species
GACGAACGCUGGCGGCGUGCCUAACACAUGCAAGUCGAGCGAAGUAUCCAUAACUGAUCCCUUCGGGGUGACGAUUUGGAUAUCUUAGCGGCGGACGGGUGAGUAACGCGUGAGAAACCUGCCUUUCACAAAGGAAUAGCCUCGGGAAACUGGGAUUAAUACCUUAUGAUACCUUCUAAGCACAUGCUUUAGAGGUCAAAACGUAAAGUGGUGAAAGAUGGUCUCGCGUCCCAUUAGCUAGUUGGUAAGAUAAAAGCUUACCAAGGCAAUGAUGGGUAGCCGGCCUGAGAGGGUGAACGGCCACACUGGAACUGAGACACGGUCCAG